rnacentral:rRNA from 1 species
ACGCUGGCGGCGUGCCUAAUACAUGCAAGUCGAGCGAAGUUUUUCUGGUGCUUGCACUAGAAAAACUUAGCGGCGAACGGGUGAGUAACACGUAAAGAACCUGCCUCAUAGACUGGGACAACUAUUGGAAACGAUAGCUAAUACCGGAUAACAGUAUUUCUCGCAUGAGAGAUAUUUAAAAGCUGGUUAUGCUAACACUAUGAGAUGGCUUUGCGGUGCAUUAGCUAGUUGGUGGGGUAAAGGCCCACCAAGGCGACGAUGCAUAGCCGACCUGAGAGGGUGAUCGGCCACACUGGGACUGAGACACGGCCCAGACUCCUACGGGAGGCAGCAGUAGGGAAUCUUCCGCAAUGGGCGAAAGCCUGACGGAGCAACGCCGCGUGAGUGAAGAAGGAUUUCGGUUCGUAAAGCUCUGUUGUUAGGGAAGAAUGGAUAUGUAGUAACUAUACAUGUAAGAGACGGUACCUAACCAGAAAGCCACGGCUAACUACGUGCCAGCAGCCGCGGUAAUACGUAGGUGGCAAGCGUUGUCCGGAAUUAUUGGGCGUAAAGCGCGCGCAGGUGGUUUAAUAAGUCUGAUGUGAAAGCCCACGGCUCAACCGUGGAGGGUCAUUGGAAACUGUUAAACUUGAGUGCAGGUGAGAAAAGUGGAAUUCCUAGUGUAGCGGUGAAAUGCGUAGAGAUUAGGAGGAACACCAGUGGCGAAGGCGGCUUUUUGGCCUGUAACUGACACUGAGGCGCGAAAGCGUGGGGAGCAAACAGGAUUAGAUACCCUGGUAGUCCACGCCGUAAACGAUGAGUGCUAAGUGUUGGUCUCAUAAGAGAUCAGUGCUGCAGCUAACGCAUUAAGCACUCCGCCUGGGGAGUACGACCGCAAGGUUGAAACUCAAAGGAAUUGACGGGGACCCGC